GAUGAAGAAAGCAGCGAAAUGCGAUAAGUAAUGUGAAUUGCAGAAUUCAGUGAAUCAUCGAAUCUUUGAACGCACAUUGCGCCCGCCAGUAUUCUGGCGGGCAUGCCUGUUCGAGCGUCAUUUCAACCCUCAAGCCCCAGCGGCCUGGUGUUGGGGACCGGCGACCUCGCCCGAGCCCGCCCUCCGGGGCGCGUGCCCGGUGCGUCCGCCGCCCCCGAAAUGAAUUGGCGGCCUCGUCGCGGCCUCCUCUGCGUAGUAGCACAACCUCGCAAGCGGGAGCGCGACGCGGCCACUGCCGUAAAACGCCCAACUUUUUUAGAGUUGACCUCGGAUCAGGUAGGAAUACCCGCUGAACUUAAGCAUAUCAAUAAGCGGAGGA
rnacentral:misc_RNA from 1 species